UACGUAGGGUGCAAGCGUUAAUCGGAAUUACUGGGCGUAAAGCGUGCGCAGGCGGUUGUGCAAGACCGAUGUGAAAUCCUCGGGCUUAACCUGGGAAUGGCAUUGGUGACUGCACGGCUAGAGUGUGUCAGAGGGGGGUAGAAUUCCACGUGUAGCAGUGAAAUGCGUAGAGAUGUGGAGGAAUACCGAUGGCGAAGGCAGCCCCCUGGGAUAACACUGACGCCUCAUGCACGAAGACGUGGGGAGCAAACAGG
rnacentral:rRNA from 1 species